GUCUUUGUAGUAAUACAAGGCAGACGGCUCAGUAACGCGUAGUCAAGCAACCCUAUGGACGGGAAUAAUCUCGGGAAACUGAGCAUAAUACCCGGCGUACCACCAUUCCUGGAAUGGUUGGUGGUUAAAAUGAUUCGUCGCCGUAGGAUGGGACUGCGACCUAUCAGCUUGUUGGUGGGGUAAAGGCCCACCAAGGCGAUUACAGGUACGGGCUCUGAGAGGAGAAGCCCGGAGAUGGGUACUGAGGCACGGACCCAGGCCCUAUGGGGCGCAGCAGGCGAGAAAACUUUGCAAUGUGCGAAAGCACGACAAGGUUAAUCCGAGUGAUUUCUGCUAAAGGAAUCUUUUGCCAGUUCUAAAAAUACUAGUGAAUAAGGGGUGGGCAAGUUCUGGUGUCAGCCGCCGCGGUAAAACCAGCACCUCAAGUGGUCAGGAGGAUUAUUGGGCCUAAAGCAUCCGUAGCCUGCUCUGUAAGUUUUCGGUUAAAUCUAUAUGCUCAACGUAUAGGCCGCCGAAAAUACUGCAGUGCUAGGAAGUGGGAGAGGUAGACGGUACUUGAUAGGAAGGGGUAAAAUCCUUUGAUCUAUCGAUGACCACCUGUGGCGAAGGCGGUCUACCAGAACACGUUCGACGGUGAGGGAUGAAAGCUGGGGGAGCAAACCGGAUUAGAUACCCGGGUA
rnacentral:rRNA from 1 species